rnacentral:tRNA from 1 species
CCUAAGAUAAGUUAAAUAAAACUAUUGAACUUUUAAUUCAAUUUUGCUUUAAGCUAUUAGGU